UUUUUAGGAUUGGUAGUAUCUCAAAUCAAUCAAGUUUUCAGUUCAAGGAUUGAAGUUCAAGUGUCGCCGGAGGCCUAUGCUGAAAUUCGACGGAUGCACCAAGGUCUCUGUGAUGAGAUAUAUCAGAGGGCUGAGCAGAUGUGCUCCAGGGAUGGGAAAGUUGCCUUUGAUGAGGCAAGUUGGUUCUCAGACGGAGCAAAUCAAUUCUCAAAGGAAGCAAAUUUCCAAUUAGGCCGCACAUAUUAAGGACCUUACAGCGCAAUUAGCAAAGCUACAAUCGGUGCCUGAUGCUUCCUUGAUGUUUUCCAUGGAUGGCUCUGAGUAUGACAUAGAUGAGGAUGUUGAUCCUUAAAGAUCUGUUCUGUUGUUCCUACAAGACACAAAUGUUGUUUUUUUCUUUUUCUUUUUCCCUCCCUAUGUUCAUCAUCAUUUUUUUUUGUUUUUACCUUUUGUAUUUCCAGGAUUGGCAUUUUAUUUUAGAAUGAAAACUUAUCUUUUAGCA